GGUGGCAGCUGCUGUUAAUUCAAGUGAGGGGGAGAUUCCCAGUCUGUUACAUGCAUUCCUGCAGCGGAGCUCUAGCCUUGACAACCUGCUAGUUCGCCAUCUUGAGAGGAUCCCUUUGACUGAAAAAAAUGUAGAACUCUUUCCUAUCAAUUGACAGAUCUAUGCCUGAAGAUGAAAUUGUUUCCAGAGGAAAAGUACUGGUUGAAAUAUACCCUACAGAUCUCAAAGAAGAGUAUGUUAAUAAAUUUUUAUUAUUUUCGAGAUUGUUUCCUGAAAAGAAAAUCAUGACUGAACUGCUUGCUGCACAAAUUGAAAAAAAUCUAGUUACACGUUUUCCCAAUGUAUGU